rnacentral:rRNA from 1 species
UGGGGAUGACGUCAAAUCAUCAUGCCCCUUAUGACCUGGGCUACACACGUGCUACAAUGGUUGGUACAACGAGUUGCGAGUCGGUGACGGCGAGCUAAUCUCUUAAAGCCAAUCUCCAGGUUCGGGAUUGUAGGCUGCAACUCGGCCUACAUGAAGUCGGGAAUCGCUAGUAAUCGCGGAUCAGCACGCCGCGGUGAAUACGUUCCCGGGCCUU